UUUUACUGCUGUUUUUAGUGAGUGAGGGUCCAGUGUUUCACAUUUCAUUCUAAAUAUUGUGACUAGAUCCACACUCAUUAAAAACGGUUGUUC
rnacentral:pre_miRNA from 2 species